GACGAACGCUGGCGGCGUGCUUAACACAUGCAAGUCGAACGCAGUUGCGAACGGGUGAGUAACGCGUAGGUAACUGCCUGGUAGCGGGGGAUAACUAUUGGAAACGAUAGCUAAUACCGCAUACUACCAGAUGGACCUACGUUGUAUUAGCUAGUUGGUGAGGUAACGGGUCACCAAGGCAACGGUACAUAGCCGAGCUGGGGGGGUGGUCGGCCACACGGGGACUGGGACACGGCCCAGACUCCUACGGGAGGCAGCAGUAGGGAAUCUUCGGCAAUGGGGGGAACGCUGACCGAGCAACGCCGCGGGAGUGAAGAAGGUUUUCGGAUCGUAAAGCUCUGUUGUUAAGGAAGCGGUACUUAACCAGAAAGGGACGGCUAACUACGUGCCAGCAGCCGCGGUAAUUC
rnacentral:rRNA from 1 species